rnacentral:rRNA from 1 species
UACGUAGGGGGCGAGCGUUGUCCGGAAUCAUUGGGCGUAAAGCGCGUGUAGGCGGCUCGGUAAGUCUGCUGUGAAAGUCCAGGGCUCAACCCUGGAAUGCCGGUGGAAACUGUCGAGCUUGAGUCCGGAAGAGGCGAGUGGAAUUCCUGGUGUAGCGGUGAAAUGCGCAGAUAUCAGGAGGAACACCAGUGGCGAAGGCGAGUCUCUGGACGACUCCUGACACUGAGGCACGAAAGCUAGGGGAGCAAACAGG